UCCAGACUCCUACGGGAGGCAGCAGUGAGGAAUAUUGGUCAAUGGGCGGAAGCCUGAACCAGCCAAGUCGCGUGAGGGAAGACGGCCCUACGGGUUGUAAACCUCUUUUGCCGGGGAGCAAGCCUGAGCACGUGUGCCCAGGCGGAGAGUACCCGGAGAAAAAGCAUCGGCUAACUCCGUGCCAGCAGCCGCGGUAAUACGGAGGAUGCGAGCGUUAUCCGGAUUUAUUGGGUUUAAAGGGAGCGUAGAUGAGUUGUUAAGUCAGUUGUGAAAGUUUGCGGCUCAACCGUAAAAUUGCAAUUGAUACUGGCAGUCUUGAGUACAGUUGAGGUAGGCGGAAUUCGUGGUGUAGCGGUGAAAUGCUUAGAUAUCACGAAGAACCCCGAUUGCGAAGGCAGCUUACUAAACUGUGACUGACAUUGAUGCUCGAAAGUGUGGGUAUCAAACAGGAUUAGAUACCCCAGUAAUC
rnacentral:rRNA from 1 species